rnacentral:rRNA from 1 species
CCUACGGGUGGCAGCAGUGAGGAAUAUUGGUCAAUGGACGAGAGUCUGAACCAGCCAAGUAGCGUGAAGGAUGACUGCCCUAUGGGUUGUAAACUUCUUUUAUAUGGGAAUAAAAUGUUCCACGUGUGGGAUUUUGUAUGUACCAUAUGCAUAAGGAUCGGCGAACUCCGUGCCAGCAGCCGCGGUAAUACGGAGGAUCCGAGCGUUAUCCGGAUUUAUUGGGUUUAAAGGGAGCGUAGGUGGAUUGUUAAGUCAGUUGUGAAAGUUUGCGGCUCAACCGUAAAAUUGCAGUGGAAACUGGCAGUCUUGAGUACAGUAGAGGUGGGCGGAAUUCGUGGUGUAGCGGUGAAAUGCUUAGAUAUCACGAAGAACUCCGAUUGCGAAGGCAGUUCACUGGACUGCAACUGACACUGAGGCUCGAAAGUGUGGGUAUCAAACAGGAUUAGAUACCCUAGUAGUC